rnacentral:rRNA from 1 species
UACGGAGGAUCCAAGCGUUAUCCGGAUUUAUUGGGUUUAAAGGGUGCGUAGGCGGAUUGAUAAGUUAGAGGUGAAAUGUCCGAGCUCAACUCGGGAACUGCCCCUAAUACUGUUGAUCUAGAGAGUAGAUGCGGUAGGCGGAAUGUAUGGUGUAGCGGUGAAAUGCUUAGAGAUCAUACAGAACACCGAUUGCGAAGGCAGCUUACCAAUCUAUAUCUGACGUUGAGGCACGAAAGCGUGGGGAGCAAACAGG